UAAGCAUAUCAAUAAGCGGAGGAAAAGAAACCAACAGGGAUUGCCCUAGUAACGGCGAGUGAAGCGGCAACAGCUCAAAUUUGAAAUCUGGCCCCCGGGUCCGAGUUGUAAUUUGUAGAGGAUGCUUUUGGCGCGGUGCCUUCCGAGUUCCCUGGAACGGGACGCCAUAGAGGGUGAGAGCCCCGUCUGGUUGGACACCAAGCCUCUGUAAAGCUCCUUCGACGAGUCGAGUAGUUUGGGAAUGCUGCUCUAAAUGGGAGGUAUAUGUCUUCUAAAGCUAAAUACCGGCCAGAGACCGAUAGCGCACAAGUAGAGUGAUCGAAAGAUGAAAAGCACUUUGAAAAGAGGGUUAAACAGUACGUGAAAUUGUUGAAAGGGAAGCGCUUGUGACCAGACGUGGGCCCGUUCAAUCAUCCAGCGUUCUCGCUGGUGCACUUGGCCGGGCUCAGGCCAGCAUCAGUUCGGCGCGGGGGAUAAAGGCUUCGGGCAUGUGGCUCCCCCGGGAGUGUUAUAGCCCGUCGCGCAAUACCCUGCGCCGGACUGAGGUUCGCGCAUCUGCAAGGAUGCUGGCGUAAUGGUCAUCAGCGACCCGUCUUGAAACACGGACCAAGGAGUCGUCUUCGUAUGCGAGUGUUCGGGUGUCAAACCCCUACGCGUAAUGAAAGUGAACGCAGGUGAGAGCUUCGGCGCAUCAUCGACCGAUCCUGAUGUUCUCGGAUGGAUUUGAGUAAGAGCAUACGGGGCCGGACCCGAAAGAAGGUGAACUAUGCCUGUAUAGGGUGAAGCCAGAGGAAACUCUGGUGGAGGCUCGCAGCGGUUCUGACGUGCAAAUCGAUCGUCAAAUAUGGGCAUGGGGGCGAAAGACUAAUCGAACCUUCUAGUAGCUGGUUUCCGCCGAA
rnacentral:rRNA from 1 species